rnacentral:tRNA from 683 species
GCGGGUGUAGCUCAAUGGUAGAGCAGCAGCUUCCCAAGCUGAAUACGAGGGUUCGAUUCCCUUCACCCGCUCCA